rnacentral:rRNA from 1 species
UACGAGAGGCCCAAACGUUAUUCGGAUUUACUGGGCUUAAAGAGUUCGUAGGCGGCGCAGAAAGUAGGGUGUGAAAGCCCUCGGCUCAACCGAGGAAUUGCGCCCUAAACUACUGUGCUAGAGGAAGCUAGAGGUGAGCAGAACAGAUGGUGGAGCGGUGAAAUGCGUAGAUAUCAGGAGGAACACCGAUGGCGAAGGCAGGUCUCUGGGCAUUAACUGACGCUGAGGAGCGAAAGCAUGGGGAGCGAACAGG